rnacentral:rRNA from 1 species
UACGUAGGGGGCAAGCGUUGUCCGGAUUUAUUGGUCGUAAAGGGCGCGUAGGCGGGAUGGCAAGUCGGUCGUGAAAUCCCUCGGCUCAACUGAGGAUCGUCGAUCGAUACUGCCGUUCUUGAGGAUUGCAGAGGAGACUGGAAUUCCCGGUGUAGCGGUGAAAUGUGUAGAGAUCGGGAGGAACACCGGUGGCGAAGGCGGGUCUCUGGGCAAUUCCUGACGCUGAGGCGCGAAAGCGUGGGGAGCAAACGGG